GACGAACGCUGGCGGCGUGCUUAACACAUGCAAGUCGAACGGAAAGGCCCUGCUUUUGUGGGGUGCUCGAGUGGCGAACGGGUGAGUAACACGUGAGUAACCUGCCCUUGACUUUGGGAUAACUUCAGGAAACUGGGGCUAAUACCGGAUAGGAGCUCCUGCUGCAUGGUGGGGGUUGGAAAGUUUCGGCGGUUGGGGAUGGACUCGCGGCUUAUCAGCUUGUUGGUGGGGUAGUGGCUUACCAAGGCUUUGACGGGUAGCCGGCCUGAGAGGGUGACCGGCGACAAUGGGACUGAGAUACGGCCCAGACUCCUACGGGAGGCAGCAGUGGGGAAUAUUGCACAAUGGGCGGAAGCCUGAUGCAGCAACGUCGCGUGCGGGAUGACGGCCUUCGGGUUGUAAAACGCUUUCGCCUGUGACGAAGCGUGAGUGACGGUAAUGGGUAAAGAAGCACCGGCUAACUACGUG
rnacentral:rRNA from 1 species